AUCUAAAUAGUUUAAUUAAAAUAGUAGUUUGUGAUACUACAGUUAUAGAUAUUUAUUUUAGAUU
rnacentral:tRNA from 1 species